rnacentral:rRNA from 1 species
GACGAACGCUGGCGGCGUGCUUAACACAUGCAAGUCGAACGGAGAGACUCUUCGCAGGGGCUCCGUGGCGUACGGGUGAGUAACACGUGGGCAACCUGCCCCCGUCUCUGGGAUAAUUCCAAGACAUCGGGGCUAAUGCCGUAUGUUCACCGCUUCCCGCGUAGGGGGUGGUGGAAUGGUUUUGCGGCUGGGUGUGGGCGCUCGGGCGAUCAGCUUGUUGGGGGGGUCGUGGCAUACCAAGGCCAGGACGGGUAGCCGGCAUGGGAGGGUGACCGGGCACAAUGCGACUGAGAGACGGCCCAGACUCCUAUGGGAGGCAGUGGUGGGGAAUAUUGCGCAAUGGGGGGAAGCCUGACGCAGCGACGCCGCGUGGGGGAUGACGGCCUUCGGGUUGUAAACCUCUUUCAGCAGGGACGAAGCGCAAGUGACGGUACCUGAAGAAGAAGCACCGGCUAACUACGUG